UGAUCCAUGGCUCAGGAUGAACGCUGGCGGCGUGCCUAAUACAUGCAAGUCGAGCGAACGGAUAAGGAGCUUGCUCCUUUGAAGUUAGCGGCGGACGGGUGAGUAACACGUGGGUAACCUACCUAUAAGACUGGAAUAACUUCGGGAAACCGGAGCUAAUGCCGGAUAACAUUUGGAACCGCAUGGUUCUAAAGUAAAAGAUGGUUUUGCUAUCACUUAUAGAUGGACCCGCGCCGUAUUAGCUAGUUGGUAAGGUAACGGCUUACCAAGGCAACGAUACGUAGCCGACCUGAGAGGGUGAUCGGCCACACUGRAACUGAGACACGGUCCAGACUCCUACGGGAGGCAGCAGUAGGGAAUCUUCCGCAAUGGACGAAAGUCUGACGGAGCAACGCCGCGUGAGUGAUGAAGGUUUUCGGAUCGUAAAACUCUGUUAUUAGGGAAGAACAAAUGUGUAAGU
rnacentral:rRNA from 1 species